GUGCCAGCCGCCGCGGUAAUACAGAGGGUGCAAGCGUUAAUCGGAAUUACUGGGCGUAAAGCGCACGUAGGCGGUUUUUUAAGUCAGAUGUGAAAGCCCCGGGCUCAACCUGGGAAUUGCAUUUGAAACUGGGAACUAGAGUGUGUGAGAGGGGGGUAGAAUUCCAAGUGUAGCGGUGAAAUGCGUAGAGAUUUGGAGGAAUACCAGUGGCGAAGGCGGCCCCCUGGCACAACACUGACGCUCAGGUGCGAAAGCGUGGGGAGCAAACAGGAUUAGAUAC
rnacentral:rRNA from 1 species